rnacentral:rRNA from 1 species
GAAGCUCGGGUCCUCGGACUUGUUUUUCAAAGCUAACGCAUUAAGUAGACCGCCUGGGGAGUACGGCCGCAAGGUUAAAACUCAAAUGAAUUGACGGGGGCCCGCACAAGCGGUGGAGCAUGUGGUUUAAUUCGAUGCAACGCGAAGAACCUUACCUACACUUGACAUACAGAGAACUUACCAGAGAUGGUUUGGUGCCUUCGGGAACUCUGAUACAGGUGCUGCAUGGCUGUCGUCAGCUCGUGUUGUGAGAUGUUGGGUUAAGUCCCGCA